UACGAAGGGAGCUAGCGUUGUUCGGAAUUACUGGGCGUAAAGGGCGCGUAGGCGGUUUUGUAAGUCAGAUGUGAAAGCCCCGGGCUUAACCUGGGAGGUGCAUUUGAAACUGCAAGACUAGAGAUCGAGAGAGGAAAGUGGAAUUACGAGUGUAGAGGUGAAAUUCGUAGAUAUUCGUAAGAACACCAGUGGCGAAGGCGACUUUCUGGCUCGAAACUGACGCUAAGGCGCGAAAGCGUGGGGAGCAAACAGG
rnacentral:rRNA from 1 species